rnacentral:lncRNA from 1 species
CCCCCCUCCUCCGGAGCACAGGAGAAAGCAGGAGGCCACUUAACAGCCUCUGCUAAUUCCUGUGGGGCUGAUGGAAAAGGCCUGGCCAGCGACAACAGGCCUGCGAGCAGCCCCCACCCGGGGGACUGGGCUGCCUCCAGGGGGUUCAGCACGGUGCAGGGCCUGCCUGGGCCCUGGGACCCCUCUGCCUGAGACCAGAGCCGAGCUGGCCUCCUCUAAAUCUCCUUGUCCCUCAUCAAGUCCAUCAAGUCCGUUUUAGUCCCGCCCCCGCCCCCAUGGCCACGAAGCAGCCGAGCAGACAGCUCUGGUCCUCACGGGGACGUGGGCAGGUUAUCUGCUAAGACCCUUGGCCAUACCUGUCAAGCCUUAGUGUCCGAGCCAUCACCCCCUGCCCCUGGUCAUGCCAAAGCCACCAGGGAAAUUUCUAGGCUUUUAGGUGCAGCUCUGGGAGGCAUCAGACUGGAGGUCGGGCUUCUGGGUACAAAGCUGGACAGCCCAGAGAGCCAGAGGAUUACCACGAUCAAGGAGAGUGGAUCUGGAAGCCCAGAAGGCUGCCAGGAUCGGAAGCCGCUGUACGACUUUCUGCCCACAUGGAGGGAAACAAGUCUCCGGAAUGUCCCUCAUCUGGUGCAGGAAAUUGCACAAAUGGUCCCAGUUCUUCACCUCUCCCCGUAUCCACAUCCGUAUCUGCGCACAUCCAUAUGACUUGGGAAUUCUUCUUCUAAGAAGGUGGAAUAGAGCCCCCACCCCUUCACCUUGGGUUCAGCCCUAUGGCUUAACCAAUGGGAUGCUGGCAUGUACGACAUAACUAAAGGCUUGUAAAGUGCUUACCUGAUUGGGCUCCUUCUCUUGGGCCUCUGCCCUCUUUGCCAUGAGAAUAUGCCCCCCUGGUGCCAGGAGGAGGACCAGGGACACACAGAGCAGGACCAAACCAUCCCAAUCAGGUCCAGCUGAGAUCAACCAGUCUCAGAGGUAUAAGCAACUCCAGUCAAGCCCGGCCAAGCCCCGCCAAGAUCAACCAACUCUUAGCCGAUCUGGAAUAAAUGACUUGUUUUGAGUCACUGAGCGUGGAGUGGCUCGGUUUGCAGCAUUUUCUGGCAGUAGGUAACUGAUAAGCCACCUCUUGUAGAUCUCACCUUCCUGAUGUCUUUUGGGCACACCCCUCCUCUCCAUCCCCUUGCCUCAGUACCAGCCUCCUAACAGCCUCCUACCUGGGCUUCCUGUCUCCAGUCUCACACACUCUAAUCCGUUCCUCACGCUGCAUCCAGAUCUUUGUGAUAUCUGAUGAUGGCUGUCUCUACCUGUUACCCUCUUU